CUCCUUUCAGGGUGGCCCCUGGAGAGUUUCCAGUACUCUACCAGUCUCGACUGUGGGAGGGAGUCGGGCAGAAGCUUAUCCAUUCCAUUCCAAGCUUGGGCAGUGGCUAGUGAGUGGAAGGCAAUCUGCUACAAGU